GACGAACGCUGGCGGCGUGCCUAAUACAUGCAAGUCGAACGCUUCUUUCCUCCCGAGUGCUUGCACUCAAUUGGAAAGAGGAGUGGUGGACGGGUGAGUAACACGUGGGUAACCUACCCAUCAGAGGGGGAUAACACUUGGAAACAGGUGCUAAUACCGCAUAACAGUUUAUGCCGCAUGGCAUAAGAGUGAAAGGCGCUUUCGGGUGUCGUUGAUGGAUGGAUCCGCGGUGCAUUAGCUAGUUGGUGAGGUAACGGCUCACCAAGGCCACGAUGCAUAGACGACCUGAGAGGGUGAUCGGCGACACUGGAACGGGGACGCGGCCAAGACUCCUGCGGGAGGCAGCAGUAGGGAAUCUGCGGCAGUGGACGAGAGUCUGACCGAGCGACGCCGCGUGAGUGAAGAAGGUGUUCGGAUCGUGAAACUCUGUUGUUAGAGAAGAACAGGGACGUUAGUAACUGAACGUCGCCUGACGGUAUCUAACCAGAAAGCCACGGCUAACUACGUG
rnacentral:rRNA from 1 species